UGAUCUCUCAGGUGGAAGUUA
ensembl:piRNA 21ur-5304 ncRNA